CACCAUUUGUUUACCCUGCAAAUAACAUUUCCAGCCCCUGCUGGCAACACUUAGCACUUACUGCCUGGUGCCAGGCCCUCUGGAGUUGUUUCCUGAACCCUGGGUGUCACAGCCACUUAGCACACUGUUCAAACCCAGACUCGCCUCCGAGGAAUCAGCAUUGCUGGAGUGAGUGAAAACAUUUUACUAAGCAUCCCAAGUUCUGAGGGCCAUCAGUUCUGAGUGUGCUCAGGGCUUAUUCCUGGUUCUGCAGUCAGGAAUUACUCAUGGUGGGCUCAGAGGACUAUAUGUGGUGCUGGAGACUAACCUGGUCAGCAGCAUGCAAGAUGGAGCAAAAGGAGGAGCCAGGGAUAUGAACUCAGGUGUUCUGACUCCUUGGAAGGAAUAACUGGCCAGGCUUCCGCUUGAAUCCGGCGAUUUCCAGCUCUCAGUGUCUAGGAAGUCAGCCGAGGCACCAUUUCACGGGGAGAAGGCCUGCUCCUUCCGAGAGCCCUGUGCCUUUAAGAGGCGCCCCCUCCCUCCCAGGAUGCUCCAAUUUUCCUCCAGGGCACCGGGAGCACCAACCCCCCACCCCCUGGCAUCUGCGGAGCCUCUCUUCGGGACCUUUCUCCGUACCCCACCCACCUCUGACUGAGCUCCGGGUCCGGAUGGGGGUGCCCCCUGCCAGCUACGGACUCGGAACCUCCGCCCCGGACCGUGCCCACUACACCCCAGCAGAAUGCCCUCUAGGGGACACGAAUCCUGACCCCACCCCGCUCCAGCUUUCUAGGGGCGAGGCCUCAGCGCCCCCUCCCACGGCUGAGGCCCACUGCAGGCGUGAAGGUGACCUCCCUCGGGGGUAACACUUGCCCGGCGGUGCCCGGGCGGGCGAACACGUGGUGAGCUGGGAGCGCGCAGCCCCUCCCAGCCACGCGCCUCGAGCAUGCGUCCUGGGCACGCCCCUCGGGCUGGCCCCGCCCCGUGCCCGCGCACGCUUCUCGGGACCCUGGAGGGCGAGCGCCCUAGUGCAGCAGCAGCACGCUGGCCAUGUGGGCGGUGGAUCUUGGGAAGGGGCCCCCCACGCACCCUUGAACUGCGUCCUAGGACUGUGAGAAGCGGGAAGCCCGGCCUGCUUAGCCGGCAAUCUGGAGUCCCAGACCUCCCGUGUUCACUGCAGGAAUCGCCAGCCUAGGAGUCCAGCCAUAGUCUGGGGUGUCCUUGAUAUUUCAAAU